GACGUAGGGCGCGAGCGUUGUCCGGAUUUAUUGGGCGUAAAGAGCUCGUAGGCGGCUUGUCGCGUCGACUGUGAAAACUCGGGGCUCAACUCCGAGCUUGCAGUCGAUACGGGCAGGCUAGAGUUCGGUAGGGGAGACUGGAAUUCCUGGUGUAGCGGUGAAAUGCGUAGAUAUCAAGAGGAACACCAGUGGCGAAGGCGAGUCCCUGGACAACACCUGACACUGAGGCACGAAAGCUAGGGGAGCAAACAGG
rnacentral:rRNA from 1 species